rnacentral:lncRNA from 1 species
CGCGGCCGGAGCAGCGCCCGCGGCUCCCGCGGCCAAGGAGGAGCCGCAGGAGCCGGGACGGCACGGAGCGGCGGAGGGGCUGCGGGAGAGCCCAGAGGAGGGAUGCGGAGGGAUGCGAGACCCCCGUACCGCUCCCCGAGAGCCGUGCUGGUGCUGCGGCCCCGCAGCGGGGGUGCUCGCCGUGCGGCUGGACAGAGGGCUGCGGACGGGCUGCCCGACACCGCCCGGCAGGUCACGGCCAGCCCUGGCGUCGUAAGGCGAGCGCCGGGGUUACGAAGGUAUGGAGACACUCUUGGACACUCUGAAUUUCAGGAAUCCCCUUGAGCCACCACAUACCAGAAGCCACCACAUCCUUAGAAGAUCCGUGAGGCUGUUCUAUCUUUCAGUAAGUGCUUUGAAAUACUUUUGUCUGUGUUGCUGGUCCCACAGUAAACACAAUAUUUUAGAAUCAAGAACUUAGGUCACUGAAUAGUAUUUUCAAAUAAUUAUUCCUGUUUAAGCAUGAAUUUAGUGAAAUAUGCAUCUAACAGAUGGAUUCUUAAUUGUGGUGACUUUGGAGGUUUCAGGUGUUGGCAGAUGUAUUGAAAAGGUGUCCUCCCAGAAAAAAAAGCAUAUUAGGGUUUUAUCAUAAAGUAACUUCAGCUCUGCUGAAAUGGAACAUACAAGCAUUAACAAACAUUGCCUUAAACCCCCCUGUAUAUGAAACUGUUCACAUAAUGCUGAGCAAUAAUGCUUUGUCCCUCUUUGUCCCUCUUUUGGAACCUUUUGAAAGCACAGUAUCUUUGAGCUAAGUAAAUAAUUAAGUGAAAUAAGAAAUUUAUCUCCCUAUUAUGAUCUGUAGCUUCUUAUUACUUCUAUCCAGUUCUGCAUUCAGCUCUGUAACUCUCAUAUGUCAUAUGCAGCUUGUUUUCUCUCAGUGUCUACAGGGAAUUAUGUGAGCAGUAUAAUUCUUCCCUUUGGUAGUUUUCUUUGAGGUGGAGAGUCAGUUGCACAUCUCUGCUGCUGUAUUUUUGUGCAAGAGAAGGUAUGAUCAAAGAAAUAUGCCCUAUGCUUCAGCAGAAAAUGAUAUUUGUGACAAUACAUAUUUCAUGAAAACUGUAAAUUCAAUUUAGUGAAGAAAUAGGACUUUGUGCAAACAACAAAGGAAAAGCUUUCAUUAAGGUGAAAGGAGAGAGAAUUUUUUCUUCUGUGAGUGUAUACAGAGUAAGUAAAUACAUAAAUAGCAGUGAUGUUUAAACAGAUUUUUCCCAUAAAACUCUUCCUACCCAAAACCCAUAGGACAGUUCAAGUAGUGAAAUUUAUGUCCAGUAGAAGUAAAACAUUCUAAAAUUUAAUAGAAACAAAUUAUGCUCAUGCAUUUUCAUGCUGAAAAAUAUCAAAAUUAAACAAAUUAAAAGAAGAGCAAAAAUAGGUGAAAUCAAGAUUCUGCUUUGCUUUUCAUAUGUUUUGAAAAUUAUCUUAAUCUACCACUACCUAAUAUUUAGUUUCUAAAGUAAUUAAGAGCAUUGUGUAGUGUCUGUGUAAUAAACAUACAACUUUAAACA